AUUGAACGCUGGCGGCAUGCCUUACACAUGCAAGUCGAACGGCAGCACGGGAGCAAUCCUGGUGGCGAGUGGCGAACGGGUGAGUAAUAUAUCGGAACGUGCCCAGUCGUGGGGAUAACGUAGCGAAAGCUACGCUAAUACCGCAUACGAUCUAUGGAUGAAAGCGGGGGGAUCGCAAGACCUCGCGCGAUUGGAGCGGCCGAUAUCAGAUUAGGUAGUUGGUGAGGUAAAGGCUCGACCAAGCCGACGAUCUGUACGCUGGUCUGAGAGGACGACCAGCCACACUGGGACUGAGACACGGCCCAGACUCCUACGGGAGGGCAGCAGUGGGGAAUUUUGGACAAUGGGCGCAAGCCUGAUCCCAGCAAUGCCGCGUGAGUGAUGAAGGCCUUAGGGUGUAAACUGCUUUGUACGGAACGAAACGGUGAGCUCUAAUACAGUUUGCUAAUGACGGUACCGUAAGAAUAAGCACCGGCUAACUACGUCG
rnacentral:rRNA from 1 species